AUUGAACGCUGGCGGCAUGCUUUACACAUGCAAGUCGAACGGCAGCGCGGGCUUCGGCCUGGCGGCGAGUGGCGAACGGGUGAGUAAUGCAUCGGAACGUGCCCAGUAGUGGGGGAUAGCCCGGCGAAAGCCGGAUUAAUACCGCAUACGACCUGAGGGUGAAAGCGGGGGACCGAAAGGCCUCGCGCUAUUGGAGCGGCCGAUGUCGGAUUAGCUAGUUGGUGGGGUAAAGGCUUACCAAGGCGCCGAUCCGUAGCUGGUCUGAGAGGACGACCAGCCACACUGGGACUGAGACACGGCCCAGACUCCUACGGGAGGCAGCAGUGGGGAAUUUUGGACAAUGGGGGCAACCCUGAUCCAGCCAUGCCGCGUGCGGGAAGAAGGCCUUCGGGUUGUAAACCGCUUUUGUUCGGGAAGAAAUCCUCUGGGCUAAUACCCCGGGGGGAUGACGGUACCGGAAGAAUAAGCACCGGCUAACUACGUG
rnacentral:rRNA from 1 species